GCUGAGGCAUGAAUCCUUGAUUUCACUCGGUUUAAAAGCCCUGCCUCCAGCAUGCAGCUGGCACAUUUGAAAGACAUGGCGGCAGAAAAACUACACAAGUGGACGGAGGCCCAAACCAGAGCCCUCAUUCAACAGAGGACUGACAAUGAGCACCUGUUUACAGGAAAGAGGUUCACAGCCAAGAAGGCCUGGGGAGAGGUUCUGCAGAAGAUGGAGUUGGAGGAGUUGCUCACUCCCACCCAA